CCUACGGGAGGCAGCAGUGGGGGAUAUUGCACAAUGGGGGGAACCCUGAUGCAGCGACGCCGCGUGGGUGAAGGAGUGCUUCGGCAUGUAAAGCACUAUCGGCAGGGAAGAAGCAAGACGGUACCUGACUAAGAAGCCCCGGCUAACUACGUGCCAGCAGCCGCGGUAAUACGUAGGGGGCGAGCGUUAUCCGGAUUGACUGGGUGUAAAGGGAGCGGAGACGGCCAUGCAAGCCAGGGGUGAAAGCCCGGGGCCCAACCCCGGGACUGCCCUUGGAACUGUGCGGCUAGAGUGCGGGAGGGGCAGGCGGAAUUCCUGGUGUAGCGGUGAAAUGCGUAGAUAUCAGGAGGAACACCGGCGGCGAAGGCGGCCUGCUGGACUGCGACUGACGUUGAGGCUCGAAAGCGUGGGGAGCGAACAGGAUUAGAUACCCGUGUAGUC
rnacentral:rRNA from 1 species